rnacentral:rRNA from 1 species
UACGUAGGGGGCAAGCGUUGUCCGGAUUAUUGGGCGUAAAGCGCGUGUAGGCGGCCAGGUAGGUCCGCUGUGAAAACCCGAGGCUCAACCUCGGGACGUCGGCGGAAACCAUCUGGCUAGAGUCCGGAAGAGGAGAGUGGAAUUCCCGGUGUAGCGGUGAAAUGCGCAGAUAUCGGGAAGAACACCCGUGGCUAAGGCGGCUCUCUAGUACGGUACUGACGCUGAGACGCGAAAGCGUGGGGAGCGAACAGG